UACAGAGGGUGCGAGCGUUAAUCGGAAUUACUGGGCGUAAAGCGUGCGUAGACGGCUAUCUAAGUCGGGUGUGAAAGCCCCGGACUCAACCUGGGAAUUGCAUUCGAGACUGAAUAGCUAGGGUACGGUAGAGGGAAGUGGAAUUUCCGGUGUAGCGGUGAAAUGCGUAGAUAUCGGAAGGAACAUCAGUGGCGAAAGCGACUUCCUGGACCAGUACCGACGUUCAGGCACGAAAGCGUGGGGAGCAAACAGG
rnacentral:rRNA from 1 species